UACGUAGGGUGCGAGCGUUAAUCGGAAUUACUGGGCGUAAAGCGUGCGCAGGCGGUUUUGCAAGCCGGAUGUGAAAUCCCCGGGCUCAACCUGGGAAUGGCAUUUGGGACUGCAAGGCUCGAGUGCGGGAGAGGAGGCUGGAAUUCCUGGUGUAGCAGUGAAAUGCGUAGAUAUCAGGAGGAAUACCGAUGGCGAAGGCAGGUCUCUGGGCUGACACUGACGCUCAUGCACGAAAGCGUGGGGAGCAAACAGG
rnacentral:rRNA from 1 species